UUGCAUUUAUGUUACAUUCAAUAUAGGAUUAGGGAUGGGACAACACAUCAUAACUGUUUGUCUUCAUCCUGAAAUACCUGCUGCCAGGACCUAAUGCGGCAGGUAACUUAAGCACUCUUCCAGAUUCAAAUAUUUUUUUUGUGGCCAGGUGUAAUUAAGCUGUUGUCAUUGUCGAGGUUAUUAUUUUAAGUGAUAGAAAAAGCUAAAAAUUGGAAGAAAAUUGGUUUUCUUCGAAAGGGUAAGAAGUCAGCUACGGCUGCGAAUCAUGAGACAAACAUUAGGGAUCUCGUUCUCCAGGCUACUGUUGUGUGCUUUAUGCUUCGACUUCCUGAUGUUUACCUCCUUGAUAGAAUUUAAUAGCAUGUAAAUGUCUUCAAAACCUCGUCCAUCUGCUGACUAUUAUGUUUAGCUCGACAGAAUUUUGAAAUCAGUUUUCCUUUAGUGGUGUUGUUGGAGUGACCGAACAUGAAUCAUAGGUUAUUCUGAUCAUGAACAUCUCUCAAACAAACUUACAGUAUGUUAUGCAUUAUCUACGUUGUCCCUCAUCAUACGCUCUUGGGUACCAAGCAUGUCGUUUAUGCCAGAAUGUAAAUAAAAGUUUGCAUCAAGACAUCAUUUACUUAGCAUGCUAUUUGACUAUAUGAACACACCCUCAUUCUUUCUAAUUAGUCUUUCCUACAUUUUUGCUUUCUCAUGUGAUCGAGUAUAAGUGGUCGCUCUAUGCUUUAUUUCUUCAAAUGCUCCUACGCUACAUACCUUAUUUAUUUCCUUGAUUGGAUUUUUGUGUUUACAUUUUUCAAUUCCCUUUCUUUUUUUAGUUGAUCAUGUCUUUACAUUCUUUAUCUCUCCUGUUUUGCAUGAAUCCACAGUGGAGUUCAAGUAGACUAUCUCCGGUGCAUUCCUCAUCGGGCCAAUGAGGCCUAUCUUAUUGAGUCCAGUCCAAUGACCUAAAAGUGACCCUGCGGUGAUGAAUACGAGGAGUUAGAAAAAGAAAGGCGAGUUAAAGACCCACAUUUAAAGUGGCUUGAGUAACUCUAAUCUUGAUGAUUUCUACCAUGAAAAUGGCCUUGGUAAAGGCAUGCACAUAAGGUGUUUGUGAAAAUGUCUAAGUAAAUUGUCUAGUCUUAUGUUGGUGAUGUUUUGAACAAGGAAAAUGACCCAAUAAGUAUGAAUUAUUAUUAUAUGAUAUUGUAAAAGUAUUACUAGCCAUGUAUUAUAAAAUUGAUGAUCGUGUUAGUUGAUGGUUAAUGAGGGGUUAAAGUUUCUAUUCAUGAAUAUGAACUUGAAUUGUGUGUUGAACUAAAGUGUGGUAAGAAUGUGGUCUAAGAUUACUAAUGAUAUGUGAACAGUUUGUGAAGGUCUUGAUGACCUUAAAUAGGAUUGUAUAAUAAAUUAAGUCAUUGGUCUAUUGAAAUAGUUGAGCAAUGAAGGCUCCCAUGAGAACCAUAUGGUCAUGUAUAGUAUUGAAUUGUCUAAAUGGGUUAAAGUCCUUAAGUGUGAAUUGAAUAGCUGAUGAUUUAUGGACAAAGGGUUGGAGUCCUAAUGUCGACUAGUGAUAGUCGUAAUGGCUCGAGGUUAAAGUCUCUUUCCUAAUGAAAGGGCUUGAGUUAAAGUCCCAUGCCUAAUGAAAUCGCUUAUGGUUAAAGUCCCUUGUACAAUAAGAUCUCUUGAGGUUGAAGUGCCUCGCCAAAUGAAAUGGCUUGGGUUAGAGUCCCCUAUCUAAUAAGGUAUGAGGUUAGAGUCCCUUGCCAAAUGUACAGGAAUGUGGUUAGGGUCCCUUGCCUAAAUGAAUGUGUGUGUGUGGUAAGAGUCCCUUGCCUAAAUGAAUAUGCAUGUGUGGUUAGAGUCCCUUGCUUAAAUGGAUAUGUGUGUGGUUAGAAUCCCUUGCUUAAUGAGUGUAUAGAUGGUUAAAGUCCUUAAUUUAAGUAAUAUAUAAAUGUGGUUGAAGUAUUAUACUUAAUAAGAAUUGUUUGAAUCUAAGUGUGGAAGGUCAGAGUCCUUCACUUUAUGUCUCAUGAUUGAGUGCUUUGAGAAUAUUGUUAAGGAUUGUUUACUUGUUUGGCAUGUGAUAUACCUACAUGUAUGGAUAAGGUCAUAAAGAUGGGUAAAUAUAAUAUAUUGACUUGUUGUUGAUUGAUGAUGUUAUUUUAUCCUUAUCCUAGAGUUAGAUGCUAGCGCUCCAAUUGCUAAUCAUCUCCGGAUGUUAUGUCCUUACACGACAUAGGGGUUGUUGACACCUAAUUUUUCCCCUCCACAACUACGUUUAAUCUCGAGUUUCUUCGAUUUUCAAAUAAAAUCACAACAAUUAUUUUUCCAAAUAAAGGCAUUUUAAAAUAGGCAUUUGGGCUAAUUUUGUCAUUUAAGUGAUAAUAAUAUAAUUUCGUAUUUGCAUAUACGAGAUUGUAUAAAUGAUGUCAUUUAAAUGAACAUCUUCAUCAAAUUGGGCUUUAAAUUAAGGAUUAUUUGAAAAAUAAAUAAAUAAUUAUAAUCUUAAUUUAAACAUCAUUUAUUCUGAAAAUAAUUUUGUUUGAUUUUAUCGAAUCAAGAAGUUUGGGGUUAAAACGGGUAUUAAUUCGUAUCGAAUUUAGUCUGUCUAUUAGAUUUGACCAUAAUUGAAAUCAAAUUGGCUAUGAUUGCAAUGCAAUUGACUAAUUAACUUUCAAUUUCGUUUAAAUUUAAAUAGAUGGCUAAAUUAGAACUGAAGUUAUUUCUGAACAACCUUUAGUCCAAUUGGGGUUUAUUUUUCCUAAAUUUAAUCGGGAUUAUUUUAACUUUUAACCCCAAUUAUUAACCCAAUUAAACUAAUACCAAUUGCCCAUUUCUUUUUCUUUUAAACGUUACCAGCCCAAUCCCUCCUAAAUAAUAUACUGCAGCCUCAAUUUGGCCCAAAUAUCCCAAUAAACCGCCCCAGCUAGCCCAACAAUAACAAUUUCUCCAACCAAGACCCCAACCCGGCCCAUUUCUUAUAAUCUUUAACAAUACUGCAGCUUCCAAACAGUGCCCAUAUCAACAACAAUCUCAUGAUCAACAGCUCCUAAAUCGCGAUGCGUCAACAACUUCGAAUCCGAUGAACCCAACCCAUCUAGCUCCACAUUUACCCGCUACCAACCCAUUCGUGGUCUUCCUCACUCCGUCACACUCGAGUCCAUAUGAGAAAGACCUAGAAGCUUCUAGAAAAGUGAUGCAUCAGCCCCUUCUAAUGUUCGAAUCGUAGAUCUUUCGGGUUGAUUGGUACGAUUUCGUACGUAGUUGGGGGAUUUUCAUUGACUAUUGAAUACCAUUUAUUUUUUCGAAAUGGUAUUGGUCCACGUAUUUCAAUUUCUUUGAAAAUUGGCAAUUGAUACCAAUUAUUAGUUGGAAAUUACAUCUUUAGUUGGAAUUUCAAAUUACCUCCACAGAAAAUCCUGAAAUUACCCUCGAUUGGUCUCUGUAGAGAGCUCACUGAUGAGCUGGGAAGGGGUUGGAAUUUUUGGUAGUCUAAAAAGGUUGAAAAAAAUUUAGGGUUUUCGUUUUCAGCUUGAGAGUCUCUUUUAGGGUUGGAGUCCUGGGAGUCAGAAAUUGGGUUUUCGACUUUUGGGGUUCAAAAAUCAGAGUUUGAAGAUCCUGGGGGUCAGGAUUCUUUUUUAUGUUCUCUUCUUUGAGGGUUCAAAUUUUUGUCCAGCAAAUUCUAGGGCCUUUAUUCAGGGAAGACAGAAGCCGUGAGAAACGAAGUUUUUCGAAAGUCGGGUUAGGAACUCUAAAAUCAAAAAGUUAUUUCGCAUAAUUUUCUCGUCACUUCUUUCUGGAAGCUAGUCACUCAAUUGGGAGUACCCGAGUUGACAACAUCAAGUUCCCAGCAAUGAUUACUAUGCUGAUAGCUCGUUUGUUCCAUUUUGCUACCCCGAAGGAGGUAAACAUACUCUUACCCCUUUUAACUUAUCGAUUUCUUCUUUAUCCCUCUUUCUUUAUGGUAAUAUUUGUUUGUUUGUUGAUGAAUAAGGCUGGGUUGUUCGCUGUAAAAAGCCUUAAAGGCCGUAGGUUUUGUGAAAGCAAUGUUGUCUGUAUUGUCUGGUUAUGAUGGUUUUGCCUUAGUUUCUAUUGCUUAUUUUGACAUUGUUGAUUAGUUUUGUCCUGUUUCUUAUUAAGUAUAGUGACCGUUGUGUGGGUCGAUGGUUUAUCAUCUAGAGUUGCUCCUUUGAUGGUCGUUCUAUUAUUUAUCUAAGUGUCAUUGGGUUUCAUUCGUUGUUAUUGUAGUCUAAAGUAUUUAAUGAAAAAUCCAAAGAUCUCUCGACGGUCGUGUCGUUUGAUCGAAAGAGAGGAUUAGAAUGAUUUGAUGACUCAUUCGUUGUGACUGUUUGACAUAGUUUUGGACUGUGUAUUUUCCUACUCAGCUGGUAACAUUGCUAGCAGAGCUGCCUCUCAAGUCUCUUUGGCUUCUCACGUGCCAAAGGGAUAAUGAGUAAGAGCCAAGAUGGGCUAUAAAUGCCUGUGAUUCCUCGAUGAUCAUAUCGGCUACCAAAAGCUUAUCCUUUUGGGUUUGUCGAAAAAAGAGUGAGGAUGAGGAUAGUAGACUUUGCUACGUUUCCAUUUGGUUUAAUGGGUUAUGUCUUUUGCCUCGUCUUAAAACUCGAAUUUUAGACUCCCAUCCUUCCUUGGGUUUCAUCCUCAGUGGGGAGACACAUUAGAAGGAUAAACAUGGUAAUAUUUUGGGGUACUAGAUAUUCGAAUGUGUCCUGUUCAGGGCAGUAGCCUAAUUUUGUUGUUAUCAUACUGCAUAUAAUUUAUGUUCAGGCUAAGGAUUCCCAAGGAUCUUUCUUUGUCAACAAUAAUCAAGAAGGUAGGGAUGAAUUUGCAUUUAUGUUACAUUCAAUAUAGGAUUAGGGAUGGGACAACACAUCAUAACUGUUUGUCUUCAUCCUGAAAUACCUGCUGCCAGGACCUAAUGCGGCAGGUAACUUAAGCACUCUUCCAGAUUCAAUUUUCCAAAUAAAGGCAUUUUAAAAUAGGCAUUUGGGCUAAUUUUGUCAUUUAAGUGAUAAUAAUAUAAUUUCGUAUUUGCAUAUACGAGAUUGUAUAAAUGAUGUCAUUUAAAUGAACAUCUUCAUCAAAUUGGGCUUUAAAUUAAGGAUUAUUUGAAAAAUAAAUAAAUAAUUAUAAUCUUAAUUUAAACAUCAUUUAUUCUGAAAAUAAUUUUGUUUGAUUUUAUCGAAUCAAGAAGUUUGGGGUUAAAACGGGUAUUAAUUCGUAUCGAAUUUAGUCUGUCUAUUAGAUUUGACCAUAAUUGAAAUCAAAUUGGCUAUGAUUGCAAUGCAAUUGACUAAUUAACUUUCAAUUUCGUUUAAAUUUAAAUAGAUGGCUAAAUUAGAACUGAAGUUAUUUCUGAACAACCUUUAGUCCAAUUGGGGUUUAUUUUUCCUAAAUUUAAUCGGGAUUAUUUUAACUUUUAACCCCAAUUAUUAACCCAAUUAAACUAAUACCAAUUGCCCAUUUCUUUUUCUUUUAAACGUUACCAGCCCAAUCCCUCCUAAAUAAUAUACUGCAGCCUCAAUUUGGCCCAAAUAUCCCAAUAAACCGCCCCAGCUAGCCCAACAAUAACAAUUUCUCCAACCAAGACCCCAACCCGGCCCAUUUCUUAUAAUCUUUAACAAUACUGCAGCUUCCAAACAGUGCCCAUAUCAACAACAAUCUCAUGAUCAACAGCUCCUAAAUCGCGAUGCGUCAACAACUUCGAAUCCGAUGAACCCAACCCAUCUAGCUCCACAUUUACCCGCUACCAACCCAUUCGUGGUCUUCCUCACUCCGUCACACUCGAGUCCAUAUGAGAAAGACCUAGAAGCUUCUAGAAAAGUGAUGCAUCAGCCCCUUCUAAUGUUCGAAUCGUAGAUCUUUCGGGUUGAUUGGUACGAUUUCGUACGUAGUUGGGGGAUUUUCAUUGACUAUUGAAUACCAUUUAUUUUUUCGAAAUGGUAUUGGUCCACGUAUUUCAAUUUCUUUGAAAAUUGGCAAUUGAUACCAAUUAUUAGUUGGAAAUUACAUCUUUAGUUGGAAUUUCAAAUUACCUCCACAGAAAAUCCUGAAAUUACCCUCGAUUGGUCUCUGUAGAGAGCUCACUGAUGAGCUGGGAAGGGGUUGGAAUUUUUGGUAGUCUAAAAAGGUUGAAAAAAAUUUAGGGUUUUCGUUUUCAGCUUGAGAGUCUCUUUUAGGGUUGGAGUCCUGGGAGUCAGAAAUUGGGUUUUCGACUUUUGGGGUUCAAAAAUCAGAGUUUGAAGAUCCUGGGGGUCAGGAUUCUUUUUUAUGUUCUCUUCUUUGAGGGUUCAAAUUUUUGUCCAGCAAAUUCUAGGGCCUUUAUUCAGGGAAGACAGAAGCCGUGAGAAACGAAGUUUUUCGAAAGUCGGGUUAGGAACUCUAAAAUCAAAAAGUUAUUUCGCAUAAUUUUCUCGUCACUUCUUUCUGGAAGCUAGUCACUCAAUUGGGAGUACCCGAGUUGACAACAUCAAGUUCCCAGCAAUGAUUACUAUGCUGAUAGCUCGUUUGUUCCAUUUUGCUACCCCGAAGGAGGUAAACAUACUCUUACCCCUUUUAACUUAUCGAUUUCUUCUUUAUCCCUCUUUCUUUAUGGUAAUAUUUGUUUGUUUGUUGAUGAAUAAGGCUGGGUUGUUCGCUGUAAAAAGCCUUAAAGGCCGUAGGUUUUGUGAAAGCAAUGUUGUCUGUAUUGUCUGGUUAUGAUGGUUUUGCCUUAGUUUCUAUUGCUUAUUUUGACAUUGUUGAUUAGUUUUGUCCUGUUUCUUAUUAAGUAUAGUGACCGUUGUGUGGGUCGAUGGUUUAUCAUCUAGAGUUGCUCCUUUGAUGGUCGUUCUAUUAUUUAUCUAAGUGUCAUUGGGUUUCAUUCGUUGUUAUUGUAGUCUAAAGUAUUUAAUGAAAAAUCCAAAGAUCUCUCGACGGUCGUGUCGUUUGAUCGAAAGAGAGGAUUAGAAUGAUUUGAUGACUCAUUCGUUGUGACUGUUUGACAUAGUUUUGGACUGUGUAUUUUCCUACUCAGCUGGUAACAUUGCUAGCAGAGCUGCCUCUCAAGUCUCUUUGGCUUCUCACGUGCCAAAGGGAUAAUGAGUAAGAGCCAAGAUGGGCUAUAAAUGCCUGUGAUUCCUCGAUGAUCAUAUCGGCUACCAAAAGCUUAUCCUUUUGGGUUUGUCGAAAAAAGAGUGAGGAUGAGGAUAGUAGACUUUGCUACGUUUCCAUUUGGUUUAAUGGGUUAUGUCUUUUGCCUCGUCUUAAAACUCGAAUUUUAGACUCCCAUCCUUCCUUGGGUUUCAUCCUCAGUGGGGAGACACAUUAGAAGGAUAAACAUGGUAAUAUUUUGGGGUACUAGAUAUUCGAAUGUGUCCUGUUCAGGGCAGUAGCCUAAUUUUGUUGUUAUCAUACUGCAUAUAAUUUAUGUUCAGUCUAAGGAUUCCCAAGGAUCUUUCUUGGUCAACAAUAAUCAAGAAGGUAGGGAUGAAUUUGCAUUUAUGUUACAUUCAAUAUAGGAUUAGGGAUGGGACAACACAUCAUAACUGUUUGUCUUCAUCCUGAAAUACCUGCUGCCAGGACCUAAUGCGGCAGGUAACUUAAGCACUCUUCCAGAUUCAAAUAUUUUUUUUGUGGCCAGGUGUAAUUAAGCUGUUGUCAUUGUCGAGGUUAUUAUUUUAAGUGAUAGAAAAAGCUAAAAAUUGGAAGAAAAUUGGUUUUCUUCGAAAGGGUAAGAAGUCAGCUACGGCUGCGAAUCAUGAGACAAACAUUAGGGAUCUCGUUCUCCAGGCUACUGUUGUGUGCUUUAUGCUUCGACUUCCUGAUGUUUACCUCCUUGAUAGAAUUUAAUAGCAUGUAAAUGUCUUCAAAACCUCGUCCAUCUGCUGACUAUUAUGUUUAGCUCGACAGAAUUUUGAAAUCAGUUUUCCUUUAGUGGUGUUGUUGGAGUGACCGAACAUGAAUCAUAGGUUAUUCUGAUCAUGAACAUCUCUCAAACAAACUUACAGUAUGUUAUGCAUUAUCUACGUUGUCCCUCAUCAUACGCUCUUGGGUACCAAGCAUGUCGUUUAUGCCAGAAUGUAAAUAAAAGUUUGCAUCAAGACAUCAUUUACUUAGCAUGCUAUUUGACUAUAUGAACACACCCUCAUUCUUUCUAAUUAGUCUUUCCUACAUUUUUGCUUUCUCAUGUGAUCGAGUAUAAGUGGUCGCUCUAUGCUUUAUUUCUUCAAAUGCUCCUACGCUACAUACCUUAUUUAUUUCCUUGAUUGGAUUUUUGUGUUUACAUUUUUCAAUUCCCUUUCUUUUUUUAGUUGAUCAUGUCUUUACAUUCUUUAUCUCUCCUGUUUUGCAUGAAUCCACUGUGGAGUUCAAGUGGACUGUCUCCGGUGCAUCCCUCAUCGGGCCAAUGAGGCCUAUCUUAUUGAGUCCAGUCCAAUGACCUAAAAGUGACCCUGCGGUGAUGAAUACGAGGAGUUAGAAAAAGAAAGGCGAGUUAAAGACCCACAUUUAAAGUGGCUAAGAGACUCCGAAGUCUCAUUUGUUGUUUAAUUUGUUUAAGUAUUAUUGUCUUUAUUUUAUUUUUCUUAUUUAUUCAUCAUUCAUUUGGGCCACAAAUCCAAAGUUUUAUUUAAUACAAUUGGAGCAAGAUUCAC
rnacentral:lncRNA from 1 species